UGGGGAAUAUUGCACAAUGGGCGCAAGCCUGAUGCAGCCAUGCCGCGUGUAUGAAGAAGGCCUUCGGGUUGUAAAGUACUUUCAGUCGGGAGGAAGGUGGUAAGGUUAAUAACCUUGGCAAUUGACGUUACCGACAGAAGAAGCACCGGCUAACUCCGUGCCAGCAGCCGCGGUAAUACGGAGGGUGCAAGCGUUAAUCGGAAUUACUGGGCGUAAAGCGCACGCAGGCGGUUGAUUGAGUCAGAUGUGAAAUCCCCGGGCUUAACCCGGGAAAUGCAUCUGAUAAUGGUCAGCUAGAGUCUUGGAGAGGGGGGUAGAAUUCCAUGUGUAGCGGUGAAAUGCGUAGAGAUGUGGAGGAAUACCGGUGGCGAAGGCGGCCCCCUGGACAAAGACUGACGCUCAGGUGCGAAAGCGUGGGGAGCAAACAGG
rnacentral:rRNA from 1 species